AACGAACGCUGGCGGCAUGCCUAACACAUGCCAGUCGAACGAGACCUUCGGGUCUAGUGGCGCACGGGUGCGUAACGCGUGGGAACCUGCCCUUAGGUUCGGAAUAACUCCCCGAAAGGGGUGCUAAUACCGGAUAAUGUCUUCGGACCAAAGAUUUAUCGCCUUUGGAUGGGCCCGCGUUGGAUUAGCUAGUUGGUAGGGUAAAAGCCUACCAAGGCGACGAUCCAUAGCUGGUCUGAGAGGAUGAUCAGCCACACUGGGACUGAGACACGGCCCAGACCCCUACGGGAGGCAGCAAGGGGGGAUAAUGGACAAUGGGCGAAAGGCUGAUCCAGCAAUGGCGCGGUAGGUGAUAAGGGCUUAGGGGUGGAAAGCCUUUUUUCCCCGGAUGAUUAAGACAGGACCGGGAGAAUUAGCCCCGGCUAACUCCGUG
rnacentral:rRNA from 1 species